rnacentral:rRNA from 1 species
AGACCUCAGGUCAGGCGGGGCUACCCGCUGAGUUUAAGCAUAUCAAUAAGCGGAGGAAAAGAAACUAACAAGGAUUCCCUUAUUAACGGCGAGCGAACCGGGAAGAGCCCACCAUGAGAAUCGGUCGCCCUAUGCGUUCGAAUUGUAGUCUGGGAAAACCGUCACA